GUGGAAAUGAGUUGCGUUGUGAAUCUGCGGUCCAUUACUUUUCAUCAAGGACCCGGAUGUGCGACUCAAUAAAUUGAAAUUGAAUUUGCGAACUGAAAAUUUUCCAGGUCCCAAGGAUUCUGCCAUGGAGGAAUUGCUGGUUCAGAGGAGAAGUGACAAGUUGCCAUUCCGGGUGUGGGUUUUGGACCUUGGCCGGAAACUGCACAAGUUAAGCUGAUCUUCCCUGACGCUGCCACACCCGGAGACUGAUGUUGCUCCCACCUACAGAUGUGAGCAGCACCCUGAUGUGGACGAAGGCAUCUUUCCCCCAAUCGGUGUUCUGGACUGGGACAAGGAUAAAUAUCAGGAGGAGUUCCAGGUCGGGCACGAUCAGGACAUAGAUGCAACGGAGAUCUUCACUGACAUCUGCCAUCACUGACAUGGGGGUUGGUCACACGCAAACUUACACAACAGCAGAGGUAAACCUUGUACCAAGCAGUUGUAUUACAGUACCAUUAAUGUUAAUGCGUGCCCCCUUACUAGAACAAGGCGAAGGCGAGCCUGGAGCCUGUCUGGGGAAUCACAGUGCACCUGGCAGGGGACACCCAGGGUGGGAGAGUCAUUUGUUCUGUGUUUCGUUUUAGAAUUUUCUGUUUCAUGGUUAAAAGUCUAGCCCCGCCUCGAAAAUGUUGCUUUGAAAAAGCAUUAAACUACUAAAACUGGACCUGCAUGCA